CCUAAAUACCCUGUAAAAGACUUGCAAACGGACAUUCAAACUGAAAGUGUUAAUUUCAGCCAGAUGCAUAUCGUAAGCAGUUGUACUUAAAUAUACUAUUCAGAUGUAUAUAUAAACGUAUGUAUAUGUUGAUUCAUACACGCAGUUCUUGGCACGAACUACGUCUUGCGGAAUUGGGGUAACACUUGUUAAUUUUGUGUGGCAGUCAACGUUGCGUAACCGAGCUGUGGAAUAGGACACUAUUUAUAUAUAUCCCUAACAUCUGGCACAGCUAAGAGUCCGUGUGCCCUGCUUGCGCCGGAUAAUUGGAUUUAUACGAUGGACACCUUUAAUUCAAAUAAUAAUUGUUGCAUGAUGUCGAGACCGCAUUGAUCCCAGAUUUGUGGCUGCUGAUUUUGGGUAUAUGCUGCCGCAUACGAAAGCUGCACUUUAUAAAUUUCUAAUUACACAUAUGCGACAAUGCCUGGGGCUCCGGCACGGGCGCACACAUUUAAGCCAAUGCUCAGGGCCAGGCUGGGUCAGAGCUGUGCAGAGCUUAAGAGCUGUCUAUAACGCACCUGUGGAACUACGUACACUGCACAAAAUUUGUCAGUAUGCGAAGAUUGAAAACUCUUACUGCAUUUCGAUACGAUCAUUUUAUGGAAAUCUUUCAUUUGACUCAGAACUCAAUUUGAUCUUAACGAUAUGUGAAUAUUAAAGUGAUCUACCAACCGGCUAGUAUUUAGUAUUUCUAA